rnacentral:lncRNA from 1 species
CCUGGAGAUUGCUCCUUGUGGAGAUUUUGAAGCCUAUGACACUGUGUUGUGUCAGCAACUGGGUAUCUUUUUCAGAGGCACAAUGAAUUUUGCAUAAUGUUAAUGAGAGGAAGUUUCAUAGUUCUGUCAUGGAAGUACAAGGUACUACAAUCACCCCCUUGCUUUGUAUGGGCAGAAUCAGACCAGAUGAGGGACAAAAUAAGUGAAAAGAAGACUUCUUCCAGGGCUAUAUUCAGUUAACCCUAAUAGACAGUUGAAGUACCAUUCACUACAUCUUCAGACUUAUGAAUUCUUCUGCAUAGGAUUCAUCUCUUUCAUUUCCAUUCCUCAUGGAGGGGCAAUCAUGCUUAACCACUUGAUAGCUUUCUAGGAUGAGAUGACCAGCUUGGCAGACAGCUUUAUGACACUGUCCACUAAUAACAUCAGUAGGAAAGCUGACAAGGUCAGUCUAGGUAAAUGAACAGGGAGAUGGACUGAAAACUGCCUGAACAGCCAGGCUCAGAUUGUUGGGAUGAGCAUCAUGUCAUCCAGCCGGAGAUCAGUCACUGGAGUAUUACCCUAGGGACUGUUACUGCCCUCUGUACUGCUUAACCACUUUGUUAAUUACCUGGAUGAUGGGACAGGCUGUGCACCUAGCAAGCUUGCAGAUGGUACAGAACGGAAGGGAGUGGCAGACACUCUAGUUUGAUAUGCUGCCAUCCAGAGGGAUCUCAGCAGGCUGGAGAAAUGGGCAGAAAUGAGUGUCACGAAGUUCAGCAAAGGCAAAUAUCAAGUCUUACACAAGGGCAGGAAUAACCACAAUAACCUGUACAGAAUGGGGGCCAGCCAGGUGAAAAGCAACUCUGCAGAAUGGAAUCUGGGUGCCAUGGUGGACAACAGGACCAUGAGCCAACAAAGUAUUACUACAGCAGAGGCAGCUGAUGGUAUCCUGGGCUGCACUAGGAAAAGUGUAACCAACAGGUGAGGGAGGUGAUUCUUCUCUCCAAGCAGUGGUGAGGCCACAUCUAGAGUGCUGUGUCCACUGCUGGGCUCUCCAGUGAAUGACCACAAGGAUGUGACCAGAGGACCUUCUCACAUGAAGAGAUAGUUGUGACUGUUUAGUCUGGAGAAGGGAAGGCUCAAAGGGGAAUUUUAUCAAUAUUUAUAAAUAUCUGAUGGAAUAAUAUAGAGAAGCCAGAUUUUGGCCUGUGUUGCCCAGUGACUGACAAGAGGCACUAAAACUCAGGAGGUUCUCUCUAAACAUUAGGAAUCCCUUCUUUACUGUGAGGGUUAUUGAUCACUGAAGUAAGUUGCCCAGAGAAGUUGUAGAGGCUCAGUCCUUGGACUUAUGCAAAAUGUGAUGGCAAAAGAAACUGAUCAACAAGCACUAGAUGAGCUUACACUUACAGGUAUAAAAAAGGGCUUGCCUAUCUAGCAGGAUAAAAUCUAACUUUAUAUGUAAGAAUACCAGCGUGGAACUUGUUCAGGAUACCACAGUCAGUACUUAACACUGGAGUUGUAGUAGAGUUUCCUAUAUGAAGAAGUAGUCUUCAUAGAAUUAACAGCAGUUCCAUAAUGGUGAGUCAGUGCUAGCACUGACACUGCUAUCCUUAAGCUCCAUAGGUGCCUCUUGUACCUCAUUUUAAACCAGAUAUUGUUAAAUGUCAAGUAAAGAGGAUAUAGAAAACAAGUGCAAAAGGAAAAUGCAAAUGCAUUUCAUUCAGACGCAUGUAUGUUUGGUAACUCUCAUUGCAAUUGCAGAUAUUUUUCAUAGACAUGUGUACACAGAAUUGUAUUCAUCCCCUUACCUUCUGACCACAAACACUAUCAGAGAAUGUAAGAAGACGAGCCGUGUUCUAGCCCUCAUAGCUCUGUUGUAAGAAACUUGAGGUACACCAUAUAUCCCCCUUUUUCCCUUCUGAAUUCCCCAUGUCAGUUUUUAAGGGAGUUAUGUGAUCUAACAUGAGAAUUUCAGCCUGAGAAGCUUUGUUCUGCAUGUGAGUACAUUUGUUUUCAGUUUAGAGGUGUUAUGUGCAACUCUUGACAGGUUAAAAGACAGCCAU